rnacentral:lncRNA from 1 species
UGCCGUUGUACCACGUGGGGUUCUGAGGUGAAUGAAUGGAGAGCAGCAGACAAGGUAGGGUCAAACGAAGCUGCUGAAUGACCUGUGUGGCUCUAUGUCAGUCUCUGCAGUCUAUGGACUGGGGCUCACGGCGCACCACUGCACAGCACAGGGCAGUUACCGCCCCGUCUUUAUGUGUCCUUGCUGUCACCACCAGCCCCGUCCCGUACACGAUAAGCCUGUUGGGACUAAGUUUCUUCCUCUCUUGCAGCAUGACCCGAGGAGUCCAGGAAGCAGACCAACACAGAGGCUAGAGGCUCUACCUGCCCAUCACAGAUCAGGCCCCUUCAUGUUCUACUGUCUCCCAGGAGUACAAAA